GGUGCCAUGGCUUAGCUGGUUAAAGUGCCUACCUAGAAAACAUGAGAUCUUGGGUUCAAAUCCCAGUGGUACCU
rnacentral:tRNA from 1 species